AUUACAAUAAUGACUCAACUUGGGAAGAUCGUCAAAGUUUCAAAUCUUCCGUUUCAUUCAACCGUAGUAGCACCAGCCCAAUUCGCAGCACUUCCCCUGCGCGGAAUGCUGUGGAGUUUGGUGUACAAGUCCACCUGGAAAAUCACAGCAUUGACAUUUCCUUCAUCAUCUUCACGCGCAAUUCCUUUUACUUUGUGCAUUGGAUGAUCAAAGCUUAUUAGCCCAGUGUCACUUAUGAAGAUACAACCUGGAGGAAACGGGGUAUACAAUUUCCCACAAGAAGCUUGAAUGAACUCUGAAUCAUCAGAACAUACUAAUGAUCCAUCUGUAGCAGUUCCCCAGUGUAACGGCACACUUCCAUCGCGAUCCCUAGCAAGAAAAAGAGUGGAGGCUUUAUAGUCAAAGAGAAUGAAAGCAAAUUUGCCUUCAAGUUCUUUGAUGACUUGAUCAGGAGGGUAUGGCGCCCGAUCCCUUAAAACUUUGUAAGCCUCAACCAUUAUCAUAGCUUCUGUAGCUUGUCUUGAAAGACCAUAAUAUUUCCUCAAAUCAAAAGUGUUGUCUAAACCACCAGAAAAGAUGCAGAAUAUGUCAUCCAUCACCACAAUAGACCUUGGAUGGAAAGGGUUUUCAUUUCCAUGAGAAAAAGCCAUGAAAUUCCCAUUUGAAAGGUGGUAAAAAGUUGAGUCUGGCUUCCAUGAUUUGAAACUUUCUUCAAUCUCUUCCUUUGUUUUAGCCUCCUUUUUCUGUCUAUCUGUCUGAGCAACGCUCAGCUCUGAA
rnacentral:misc_RNA from 1 species